rnacentral:rRNA from 1 species
UGCAAGUCGAACGCUUCUUUCCUCCCGAGUGCUUGCACUCAAUUGGAAAGAGGAGUGGCGGACGGGUGAGUAACACGUGGGUAACCUACCCAUCAGAGGGGGAUAACACUUGGAAACAGGUGCUAAUACCGCAUAACAGUUUAUGCCGCAUGGCAUAAGAGUGAAAGGCGCUUUCGGGUGUCGCUGAUGGAUGGACCCGCGGUGCAUUAGCUAGUUGGUGAGGUAACGGCUCACCAAGGCCACGAUGCAUAGCCGACCUGAGAGGGUGAUCGGCCACACUGGGACUGAGACACGGCCCAGACUCCUACGGGAGGCAGCAGUAGGGAAUCUUCGGCAAUGGACGAAAGUCUGACCGAGCAACGCCGCGUGAGUGAAGAAGGUUUUCGGAUCGUAAAACUCUGUUGUUAGAGAAGAACAAGGACGUUAGUAACUGAACGUCCCCUGACGGUAUCUAACCAGAAAGCCACGGCUAACUACGUGCCAGCAGCC